AGUGCUGUCACUCUUGGAGCUCUAUUGCCAUGGUGCAAGGACGCCCAGACUAACCUGCAUGGAGAGACCACGUAAAUAAAUCAUGUGAAGUACUUUAGCUGACAGCCCAAAUGGAGUCUCAUCUGACAGGUGGCAUCAGUCUGAAAUGGGAGGGGACUCUUCCACAUGAUUCCAGCCAUCGAGUCUCCCCACCCUUCUAAUCUUACCAAAUGUGUCCCAGAUGUUGUGGAGCAGAGAGAAGCCAACUUUGAUAUAUCCUGUCUAAACUGCUGCCCACAGAAUCUAGUAACCAAUGAAAUGAUGACAGUUACCUAUCAUGGAUCUUCAAAGGGACUGAAAAUUUGGACCAGAUGCCAUCUUCUCAAGAGUACAGGAGGAACUGAAGCAUUAAAUUGUGAUGGUAUUGGCCAACAUAUGUAGCUCAUCACUGCGAACAAGUGCUCAGCCUACGUUUGGAGUGGUGUACUGUCAUUGUGACCCAUAACUGUUGGAAGAGUUCCAGAAAUAACACAAGGGAUUAUGCAUUAAUAUAGAGCAGGUGGCAGAUCAUAGAUCAAAACUAGGUGAUGGCAACAUGAAGAUCAUUGAGAAUAUGGAGAAUAUGGCAACAGCAGCCUUCACAGCAUGGUAGGAAAUGGAUGACUGAGUGCAGUGGCUGGAGGAAGGAUUUUUGAGAUGAGAAAGUAAUGACAAACUCUGCAGACAACUCUCUCUAUGGGUUUUGCUGUGAAGAAAAGUCGUUAUUGAAGAAUUAUGCUACUAUUCCUUGCUGAGAUGGAUGAGGGAAGGAAAAACAUAAUCUUAUUAACUUUUAAAAUUAUAUUUCAUUUAUAAGCUUUGGCAAUGAAACAACUCAGUGACAACCUGAGAAACACAGAAAUCGGACCUGUGAGAUUUGUGGAAUCUAAUAUAGUUUCACUGCAGGAGAUUUCAACGUGUAAAUCCUAAAUGCAAGAAAAAGGGCCCUAAAGGUUAACAUUUACAUACUUUUUUUUAAUUUUAAAAAUUCCAGGUUCCCAUCAAAAUUUAUAAAUUCCUGGGCAGCACCAUAGUGUACACAUGGGGACAAAUAAAGUAAAGCCAAAAGAGCAAAAUAAACAUGAAAUAUGUACAA